rnacentral:misc_RNA from 1 species
GAUGACCGAACGGUAUCUGUGUGUGCAUGGGCACUUCUACCAGCCACCGCGCCAGAAUCCAUGGCUUGAAGAGCUUGAGGCCGAGGCGUCGGCCGCGCCAUUCCACGACUGGAAUGAGCGCAUCACCGCCGAAUGCUACGCCCCCAAUGCCGCCGCCCGCAUCGUCGACGGCGAAGGGCGCCUGCUCGAAAUCCACAAUACUUAUACCCAGAUCAGCUUCAACUUUGGUCCGACCCUGUUGGCCUGGUUAGAGAAGGCCGAGCCGACCACCUACCAGCAGAUCAUCGCGGCCGACCGACUCAGCCAUGCCAACCGUGGCGGCCACGGCAAUGCCAUGGCGCAGGCCUACAAUCAUGUGAUUAUGCCGCUGGCGAACCGGCGCGACAAAGUGACACAGGUCGUCUGGGGCAUCGGUGAUUUCCAGAGCCGGUUCGGGCGCCUCCCAGAGGGUAUGUGGUUGCCCGAGACGGCUGUUGACCUCGAAACCCUGGAUAUCCUCGCCCAGCACGGCAUGCGUUUUACCAUCCUCUCCCCCUUCCAGGCCAAACGUGUGCGAAUGCCAAGGGACAAGACCUGGAGCGAUGCCUCGAACGGACUGAUCGAUCCUUCGCGUCCGUAUCGUUGUCGGUUGCGAUCGGGGCGUGAGAUCGCUCUUUUCUUUUAUGAUGGUCCCAUUGCCAAAGCCAUCGCCUUCGACGGCGUCCUGGCACGGGGGGAGAUGCUGAUCGAGCGGCUGAUGGGGGGGUUCCAUGACGAACGCAACCAUACCCAACUGGUGCAUGUGGCCACCGAUGGGGAGACCUAUGGGCAUCAUCACCGCUUCGGGGAAAUGGCCCUGGCGUAUGCGCUGUCGACGAUGGCCCGCAAGAACCUGGCCACGCUCACCAACUACGGCCAAUAUCU